rnacentral:rRNA from 1 species
GGGGAAUAUUGCACAAUGGGGGAAACCCUGAUGCAGCGACGCCGCGUGGAGGAAGAAGGUCUUCGGAUUGUAAACUCCUGUUGUUGAGGAAGAUAAUGACGGUACUCAACAAGGAAGUGACGGCUAACUACGUGCCAGCAGCCGCGGUAAAACGUAGGUCACAAGCGUUGUCCGGAAUUACUGGGUGUAAAGGGAGCGCAGGCGGGAAGACAAGUUGGAAGUGAAAUCCAUGGGCUCAACCCAUGAACUGCUUUCAAAACUGUUUUUCUUGAGUAGUGCAGAGGUAGGCGGAAUUCCCGGUGUAGCGGUGGAAUGCGUAGAUAUCGGGAGGAACACCAGUGGCGAAGGCGGCCUACUGGGCACCAACUGACGCUGGAGGCUCGAAAGUGUGGGUAGCAAACAGGAUUAGAUACCCUGGUAGUCCACACGGUAAACGAUGAUUACUAGGUGUUGGAGGAUUGACCCCUUCAGUGCCGCAGUUAACACAAUAAGUAAUCCACCUGGGGAGUACGACCGCAAGGUUGAAACUCAAAGGAAUUGACGGGGGCCCGCACAAGCAGUGGAGUAUGUGGUUUAAUUCGACGCAACGCGAAGAACCUUACCAAGUCUUGACAUCCUGCGACGGACAUAGAAAUAUGUCUUUCCUUCGGGACGCAGAGACAGGUGGUGCAUGGUUGUCGUCAGCUCGUGUCGUGAGAUGUUGGGUUAAGUCCCGCAACGAGCGCAACCCUUAUGGUCAGUUACUACGCAAGAGGACUCUGGCCAGACUGCCGUUGACAAAACGGAGGAAGGUGGGGAUGACGUCAAAUCAUCAUGCCCUUUAUGACUUGGGCUACACACGUACUACAAUGGCGUUAAACAAAGAGAAGCAAGACCGCGAGGUGGAGCAAAACUCAGAAACAACGUCCCAGUUCGGACUGCAGGCUGCAACUCGCCUGCACGAAGUCGGAAUUGCUAGUAAUCGUGGAUCAGCAUGCCACGGUGAAUACGUUCCCG